GACGAACGCUGGCGGCGUGCUUAACACAUGCAAGUCGAACGGAAAGGCCCUGCUUUUGUGGGGUGCUCGAGUGGCGAACGGAUGAGUAACACGUGAGUAACCUGCCCUUGACUUUGGGAUAACUUCAGGAAACUGGGGCUAAUACCGGAUAGAAGCUCCUGCUGCAUGGUGGGGGUUGGAAAGUUUCGGCGGUUGGGGAUGGACUCGCGGCUUAUCAGCUUGUUGGUGGGGUAGUGGCUUACCAAGGCGUUGCCGGGUAGCCGGCCUGAGAGGGUGACCGGCCACAUUGGGACUGGGAUACGGGCCAGAGUCAUACGGGAGGCAGCAGUGGGGAAUAUUGCACGAUGGGCGGCAGCCGGAUGCAGCAACGCCGCGUGCGGGAUGACGGCCGUCGGGUUGUAAACCGCUUUCGCCUGUGACGAAGCGUGAGUGACGGUAAUGGGUAAAGAAGCACCGGCUAACUACGUG
rnacentral:rRNA from 1 species